GACAGAGGGUGCAAACGUUGUUCGGAAUUACUGGGCGUAAAGCGCGUGUAGGCGGUUCGUAAAGUCGGAUGUGAAAGCCCUGGGCUUAACCCAGGAAGUGCAUUCGAAACUCACGAACUUGAGUCCCGGAGAGGAAGGCGGAAUUCUCGGUGUAGAGGUGAAAUUCGUAGAUAUCAGGAGGAACACCGGUGGCGAAGGCGGAUCUCUGGGCCUUACCUGACGCUGAGACACGAAAGCGUGGGUAGCAAACAGG
rnacentral:rRNA from 1 species